ACUCCUACGGGAGGCAGCAGUGGGGAAUUUUGGACAAUGGGCGAAAGCCUGAUCCAGCAAUGCCGCGUGAGUGAAGAAGGCCUUCGGGUUGUAAAGCUCUUUUGUCAGGGAAGAAACGGUGAAAGCUAAUAUCUUUUGCUAAUGACGGUACCUGAAGAAUAAGCACCGGCUAACUACGUGCCAGCAGCCGCGGUAAUACGUAGGGUGCAAGCGUUAAUCGGAAUUACUGGGCGUAAAGCGUGCGCAGGCGGUUUUGUAAGUCUGAUGUGAAAUCCCCGGGCUCAACCUGGGAAUUGCAUUGGAGACUGCAAGGCUAGAAUCUGGCAGAGGGGGGUAGAAUUCCACGUGUAGCAGUGAAAUGCGUAGAUAUGUGGAGGAACACCGAUGGCGAAGGCAGCCCCCUGGGUCAAGAUUGACGCUCAUGCACGAAAGCGUGGGGAGCAAACAGGAUUAGAAACCCUUGUAGUCCC
rnacentral:rRNA from 1 species